UGAAUUCGAAACAGAUUUAUCAUAACGUAAUUUCCUGGACACUCCCAACUUGAGACUGAAAGCUGGGCGAAAGGGGUUUCUGAAGCUAACCUAAAAGACAAAAUGGUCUAGAGUCACCUUUAUCCCGCAAAUAACAGAGGAUUAAGAAUCUGAAAUCUUGAAGCCUCCAGGACCACGGUGGAAGCCCUCAGCAGAAAUUUCUGCUGGAGGCCGGAGCGCCUUUUGAUUUCGGGAGACUGGCCCAGGAACUCUAGUCACUUGGAAGGCGGAAGAGAAGGUGGUACCUGAGCCAGAUAGGAGCCACUCAGAGGCAGCCCGGGGCCGCCACUCACCUCGGAGAGGAGGUGGAGUCCGAUGACCCGGACUGAGAGGAAACGCGAGACUGAGUCUACCAGGAUCAAAAAGCCAGUACAAUUUCACAUAGGCGAGCAUUGUCUUCAGGAAAAAUAAGCACAGAUGGAACCAAAGUUAUGACAGAACACAGCCCACAUGCGGUGGGUUUCACUGACGGUUCUGUGCUCAGAAAUCAACUCUGGGGAAUUCAGAUAAUAAUCUCUUCUUCGGACAGAAAAAGGAAAAAUUGCCUCAUCCACACUUGGACCCUUAUAAGGAGGACAGGUGUGAUGAUUAGGAUUUGGCCUAAAGAAUAGAUUGAAGCAGAUGACACACUUCAAAAGAAUGUGUUCCCAAUCUCAGGACCUCUCUGGGGAGUCUCACAAGUGUCAAGUUCAUCCUGUGAUCCCUGCUGAGAUAUGGCCAAAUGUAAAGGCCAGGACCAGCUGGGUGUUUACAUGACAUAUAAAUAACAACACAAACCUGGUCAAUUAACCUCUUUGCUGCUUGGUUUAAGUGAGUCCCAUAACCUGCCUAAUGAAGAGAAAGAAACUCCCUCAAUCCUGCUAAGAGGUUAAAGGACAACAUUGAGAAACUGAUUUGAGAGGAAUUGAAUUUGCUAUUCUGGGUUCACAACUCCAGCCCUAAUCCUGAUAGUGCAGCAAGAAGGGCUGCCAUAAUCUUGAAGGGUCCAUUUGAGAGUGUGGGACUGCAGUGAGGAUGGAACAGCGCAGCCCUCCCAGGCAGGGGAUGUUGUCUUGGUUAUUCACGGAUCCGCAUCAGCACCCUUCCUGGAACGUGGCAGGCGGCAGUACAGAGCUGGUGAAGGAGGAAUGAAGGAGGAAGCCAUGUUGCACUGAUGAUGGUUUGGGGGUGCCUGUCUACACCAGAAAAACCGGAUUCUCCCCAGAAAAGACAUUUGAAAUUCCCUGGAGAUUUCUGACCAUGUCCUUUGGAAGAAAUAUUCAUACAGCCAGAGAAACCUUAAAAUCAACUUGCUUUUAUUCUUGCCCAAAAUUAAAGGUUUGCCUACCAACAACUUUCCUCUCAAAAA